UACGUAGGUGGCAAGCGUUAUCCGGAUUUACUGGGUGUAAAGGGCGUGUAGGCGGGACUGCAAGUCAGAUGUGAAAACCACGGGCUCAACCUGUGGCCUGCAUUUGAAACUGUUUCCCUUGAGUGUCGGAGAGGUAAUCGGAAUUCCUGGUGUAGCGGUGAAAUGCGUAGAUAUCACGCAGAACUCCGAUUGCGAAGGCAGCAUACCGGCGCGCAACUGACGCUCAUGCACGAAAGCGUGGGUAUCGAACAGG
rnacentral:rRNA from 1 species